GCCUCGGUGGCGCAGUAGUCAGCACGUGCUCCCUGAAAGGUGAAGACGCGGGUUCAACUCCCGCCCGGUGCU